rnacentral:lncRNA from 10 species
UAGUUGGGACAGUUGUAGGAGGAAGAUUAACAUAUACCAGUACAGAUGAGCAUGAUGCUAUGGAUGGAGAAUUAUCCUGUCGAGUUUUUCAGCUUAUAUCUUUAAUGGAUACCGGAUUGCCUCGAUGUUGUAAUGAGAAAAUAGAGCUUGCAAUUCUGUGGUUCUUGGAUCAGUUUCGUAAAACAUAUGUUGGUGAUCAACUUCAAAGAACCUCAAAGAAGACAGACAUCUUCCUGUGAAGGGCUUGUGGCAAACCUAUCCAACUCGGGUUUCUUCUUCCUUGAGAACGAUCUGAUUCAUCAUCAUCUGAACCAGGGAUCACAGUCUAAGGUCCAGUUUAUUCAGAAGGCAAACAAAAAU